rnacentral:rRNA from 1 species
ACCAAAUAGAUACCCUGGUAGUCCACGCCCUAAACGAUGCGAACUGGAUGUUGGGUACAUUACGGUACUCAGUGUCGAAAGCUAAACGCGUUAAGUUCGCCGCCUGGGGAGUACGGUCGCAAGACUGAAACUCAAAGGAAAUUGACGGGGGCCCGGCACAAGCGGUGGAGUAUGUGGUUUAAUUCGUAUGCAACGCGAAGAACCUUACCUGGCCUUGACAUCUGUCGAAUCCUGCAGAGAUGCGGGAGUGCCGCAAGGAACGACAAGACAGGUGCUGCAUGGCUGUCGUCAGCUCGUGUCGUGAGAUG